AUGGCAUAUAGGCCUCCAUUUCUCCCGCUGCCCCACUGUGCAAACACUGGUGGCGGGCAGGAGUGGGUGGUACCCGGAUCCAGGUGCUCUCCCUGGCAGUUCCAGGUGCGGGGCUCCGGGGAGCGGUCUAGCAGCUGUCAGAGGCCCCGCCCCCGCCGCCCACCUCCUCAGGAAUUGGCUGUCCCGGUCCCAGGGGGCUGUCCCAGGGUCGGAAAAAAGUCUGGGGUCGCAGGGGCGGGUUUUCAGUCACUCGUGGACAAAGCGUAUCGCGCUCGCGUUGCGGCCUCAGGCGGAGGUCACCGUCCCUUUCCCUUUCCUUCCACAACCGCACGCGCGCUCUUCCUCCGCUACUUGCCCUCCCCCCGACUCCCGGGUCCCGCCCCUUCGAGGAAGUGUAGGGCACGCCGGUCUCCGGGCACGCGGGCGUCUGUCCCAGCAGCCCCGGGCGGUGGGCGAGGGCGCGGACUGGGGACCCGGGAGGGGAAGGGGCCGGGGCGCGGGGGCUCCCGGAAGCAAAGGCGGCCGCCGCUCGGGGACCGACUCCGCAGGGAAUACUUCUCUGGAUAUAAAAGAUCUGGUUAAACAAUGUCAUCAAAUUAAAGAGAAGCUGUCAGAGGGAAUGAUACCAAAAAGGAAACAAGAAUGUUAAAAAGAGCAUUUGUACCAUCUAAAGUACCUACGGAUGGAAUAAUCUACAGACAAGGCCAAUGUAACCGGAACAGGAUAUUGUGACAAAACCAUCCAGUUUCCAUCAAUUUGUCAAG
rnacentral:lncRNA from 1 species